rnacentral:rRNA from 1 species
UGCUUGGCGCUGCUUACCAUGCAGUCGACGAUGACCCCGUGCUUGCACGGGUGAUUAGUGGCGAACGGGUGAGUAACACGUGAGUAACCUGCCCCUGACUCUGGGAUAAGCCCGGGAAACUGGGUCUAAUACUGGAUAUGACCUUUAACCGCAUGGUUUUUGGUGGAAAGAUUUAUCGGUUGGGGAUGGACUCGCGGCCUAUCAGCUUGUUGGUGAGGUAAUGGCUCACCAAGGCGACGACGGGUAGCCGGCCUGAGAGGGUGACCGGCCACACUGGGACUGAGACACGGCCCAGACUCCUACGGGAGGCAGCAGUGGGGAAUAUUGCACAAUGGGCGAAAGCCUGAUGCAGCGACGCCGCGUGAGGGAUGACGGCCUUCGGGUUGUAAACCUCUUUCAGUAGGGAAGAAGCGAAAGUGACGGUACCUGCAGAAGAAGCGCCGGCUAACUACGUGCCAGCAGCCGCGGUAAUACGUAGGGCGCAAGCGUUAUCCGGAUUUAUUGGGCGUAAAGAGCUCGUAGGCGGUUUGUCGCGUCUGCCGUGAAAGUCCGAGGCUCAACCUCGGAUCUGCGGUGGGUACGGGCAGACUAGAGUGAUGUAGGGGAGACUGGAAUUCCUGGUGUAGCGGUGAAAUGCGCAGAUAUCAGGAGGAACACCGAUGGCGAAGGCAGGUCUCUGGGCAUCUACUGACGCUGAGGAGCGAAAGCAUGGGGAGCGAACAGGAUUAGAUACCCUGGUAGUCCAUGCCGUAAACGUUGGGCACUAGGUGUGGGGAACAUUCCACGUUUUCCGCGCCGUAGCUAACGCAUUAAGUGCCCCGCCUGGGGAGUACGGCCGCAAGGCUAAAACUCAAAGGAAUUGACGGGGGCCCGCACAAGCGGCGGAGCAUGCGGAUUAAUUCGAUGCAACGCGAAGAACCUUACCAAGGCUUGACAUGUUCCAGACCGCCUCAGAGAUGGGGUUUCCCUUUCGGGGCUGGGUUCACAGUGGUGCAUGGUUGUCGUCAGCUCGUGUCGUGAGAUGUUGGGGUUAAGUCCCGCAACGAGCGCACCCUCGUUCAUGUGCCAGCACGUAAGGUGGGGGACUCAUGGGAGACUGCGGGUCACUCGGGAGAGGUGGGAUGACGUCAAUUCAUCAUGACCUAAUGUCCUGAGCUCACGCAUGCUACAUGGCCGGUACAUUGGGUGCCGAAACUUGUGAAAGGUGUGAACUUAAAAUUC